AGUCGACGAUGAAUCUUCUAGCUUGCUAGAAGUGGAUUAGUGGCGCACCGUUGAGUAAUGCAUAGGUUAUGUGCCCUUUAGUCUGGGAUAGCCACUGGAAACGGUGAUUAAUACUGGAUACUCCCUACGGGGGAAAGUUUUUCGCUAAAGGAUCAGCCUAUGUCCUAUCAGCUUGUUGGUGAGGUAAUGGCUCACCAAGGCUAUGACGGGUAUCCGGCCUGAGAGGGUGAUCGGACACACUGGAACUGAGACACGGUCCAGACUCCUACGGGAGGCAGCAGUAGGGAAUAUUGCUCAAUGGGGGAAACCCUGAAGCAGCAACGCCGCGUGGAGGAUGAAGGUUUUAGGAUUGUAAACUCCUUUUGUUAGAGAAGAUUAUGACGGUAUCUAACGAAUAAGCACCGGCUAACUCCGUGCCAGCAGCCGCGGUAAUACGGAGGGUGCAAGCGUUACUCGGAAUCACUGGGCGUAAAGAGUGCGUAGGCGGGGUAAUAAGUCAGAUGUGAAAUCCUGUAGCUUAACUACAGAACUGCAUUUGAAACUGUUACUCUGGAGUGUGGGAGAGGUAGGUGGAAUUCUUGGUGUAGGGGUAAAAUCCGUAGAGAUCAAGAGGAAUACUCAUUGCGAAGGCGACCUGCUGGAACAUUACUGACGCUGAUGCACGAAAGCGUGGGGAGCAAACAGGAUUAGAUACCCUGGUAGUCCACGCCCUAAACGAUGGAUGCUAGUUGUUGCCUUGCUUGUCAGGGCAGUAAUGCAGCUAACGCAUUAAGCAUCCCGCCUGGGGAGUACGGUCGCAAGAUUAAAACUCAAAGGAAUAGACGGGGACCCGCACAAGCGG
rnacentral:rRNA from 1 species